rnacentral:lncRNA from 1 species
CAUGCCAGAAAAUUUCACACGUAGAGAGAAAUGGUAAUUGUGACUUAAUCUUCUUUCACUGAUGUAAGAGCUGUUCUCAUAGUAAAGCAAAUGCAUAGUGUAAUAUAUUCCUAUAAAAUCUUAUCAUGAAACCCAUAAAAGCACAUAAAUGUCUUACUUCCCAAAAUCAGUGAAGCAAAAUGCCUGAAAUGAGUGCAGCAUUUAAAAGGUCAACGAUUAAGUUGGAGUCCUCUAGUCAACAGAGUUUAGAAAAAGUUUUGGUAGUGGAAGGACAAGUGUAUCCACAUGAGGAGCGGGGAGCUUUGUGGAAAAGGGAAGAAGAGAUGCAACUGUGGAGCAGAUGACAUUGGAGAAUAGACAAGCCCAAGAGGACUCACACCAAGAGAAAUUUUGAUAGCCAAAGGGCAACGUGAAGGCAUUGAAGUAACACGGAGAUUAAGAGAUGGUACUAGUAGCAUGCAGACGAAACAAAAAAUAAAAUUUGCUUUAAAAUUGGG